rnacentral:rRNA from 1 species
AUUGAACGCUGGCGGCAGGCCUAACACAUGCAAGUCGAGCGGAGCGGUGGACGGGCGAGUAAUGCCUAGGAAUCUGCCCGCUAUUGGGGGAUAACGUCCGGAAACGGGCGCUAAUACCGCAUACUUUUAGCUGAGCCUUGGCCGGAUUAGCUAGUUGGUUGGGAAAAGGCUUACCAAGGCGACGAUCCGUAACUGGUCUGAGUGGAUGAUCAGUCACACUGGAACUGAGACACGGUCCAGACUCCUACGGGAGGAAGCAGUGGGGAAUAUUGGGCAAUGGGCGAAAGCCUGAUGCAGCCAGGCCGCGUGUGUGAAGAAGGUCUUCGGAUUGUAAAGCACUUUAAGUUGGGAGGCGUUACCAACAGAGUAAGCACCGGCUAACUUCGUGCCAGCAGCCGCGGUAAUUC